AAUAAAUGUAUCUUACCAAAAUGAGCACAACACUUCGAUAUUCACCAUAAUUUAUCUAUCACACAUCGGUGUAUAUAUAAUCAUACAUAUAUAUAUAUAUAUACAUAUACUAUAUAUAUGUAUAUAUUUGUGAACAGCAAGGUUUGAACGAGAAUUGUCGCUGUCCGCUGUUCCAGGGUCUGUUGUGAACCUUGCUGAAUUCGUCGCUGUCCGUUUCUUCGGGAUCUGCUUGUGAUUCAUUGUGGAAGUAUUGUCCGCUGUUACAGGACUUUUACUUAUACGAGCUCCUCUUUCGAUGCCGUCUUUAUCUCGUCAAGAGAAGCGUAACGUCGUCCUUUCAUGGGCCUCUGCAGUAUAGGGAACAAGAAAAAGUCACAGAUCUGGGGAAUACGGUGGCUGCGACAUCAUUAGUGUGUUGUUUUUGGCCAAAAAGUCGCGCACAAGCAACGAUGUGUGAGCAGGGGCGUUAUCGUGGUGCAAUUUUUUUGAUAGGUAAAAAUCGAAGACGAUCCAAACCACGUGCAAGCAAAGCAGCUGUCAACAAUUAAAUGAACAUUCAAAAUGGCCGAGCUUGUCGGCAUAAGUGACAGACAUGAGUACCAACAUAACGUAACCCGCGAAAAUUCAAAAUUCGCGAUACUUUUUGAACACAUCUCGUAUUCAUUGCCAUUUGUUUCUGCACUUUUUUCAGACAUUUAAUGCUGGAAGUCCUACUUCCUGUGGAAUUUUUUGAUUUAGUUCUUUCGGAAUAAAAUCUGGCUUUUUGGAUAGCAAAUAAAUUUGCAUUUCAAUUGUUCCAACUCAAGUUUGUUUUGAUGCAUUCUAUUUACUGAAACUAAAGGUUGUUUUGUUGUUUGCUACUAUUAUAAGGAAUACGUUCCUUAACUCGCCCAGUUAAAAAAGUGUCUAUCCAGUAAUUAAGAAGAGAUUUUUCUAUAUCCAGUCCAAUGGAGGGAAGUUUCUGAAGUAAAUAACUUUGCAUAGUAUAUUAAAUGACUACAUCUAUAAUAUAUUAGAUGCUAAAUAAGUAGGGACGAGAGUGUUUUUUCUGGACCCGGGGCAAAAUAAAAUUGUAGAGUGCCUUUAAAAAAAAACAAUACAAAUUUUAAUGAUACAUCUGAUUCUCAUAAUACUUGUAGGUACUCAAAUUGGAUUAUAUUCUCCUUCAUUCUAAAUUACAUUCGUGUAAAUUUUGAAAGUGUGAUGAUUUUUAGAAGAAAAUGGGAUGGUAUUUGUAAAAAAUUUAAAGUAGUAAAUUGCCUUUCAAUUUUAAGAUAAGGGAGCUCGAGGAAAACUGCUUUGCUUGCUUUUGUAAACAAAAAAUGGUGUAGGGUAUUGAAUUGUAGUUGUUUUAGCACUAUGAUGAAAAAGACCUUCAUCUUUGUUGUAAAUUUAAAUUAUUAUAGACACCAUCAAUGCUUUACAGUGCAGUCGCCGUGACAUUUUUGAUGCUUUGUACAAACAAAUGCACUUGGAACUGGUCGGCAAAAUUAAGAUUCUGGAACAUUCAAAGAUAAAAAAGGAUCUUUUCCAUUUGGUCCAUUUGAGAUUAGAUCCGCCGAAAAAAGUAGCACAUUGUCAUUAGGCAAUUAAACUAUUAAAUUCUACGACGGUGGCUAAAUGAGUAGCGACGUCGCAUCACAUCUGCAUCAAUUCACCACACAUUAACACACAUACACGCACAUGCACCCAAACGCGAUGACAUUCUGCAGGCUAAUCAGAACAAAAGGAAAAGAGAAAGGAUCUCGCGCACUUUUCGUUGAUACGACGUCGAUCAAGCAGCAUCGGUCUUCGCUUUCCGCAGCAUCCCGGUUCACUUUCGCUACCCGCCUUUAUAUACGUUUGAAGUUUUCACUUUAUAUUAAAAGUAAUUUUAUAAUAACAUUUAUCAUUGUAUAUAUAUAAAUAUAAUAUAUAUAUUUAACGUUUCUUAAACCGGCGGUUUUCUACCUAUAAUUACCUUUGAGCAUUUCUUAUAUAAUAUAUAUAUUUAAUGUUUGAACUAUUAUUUUAAAACUAAUUUUAUUACAAUAAUUGUGAAGUGAAGUUCGCAGAAAAUAAAAGUUUGUAACGAUCUUGAAAUUGGUGUAUUUUCUUUUAACUUAAAGUGUGAGUGGCCUAUAAGGUGAGUUUUUGUAACGGGUGAUUUUUUUGAGGUUAGGAUUUUCAUGCAUUAGUAUUUGACAGAUCACGUGGGAUUUCAGACAUGGUGUCAAAGAGAAAGAUGCUCAGUAUGCUUUGACAUUUCAUCAUGAAUAGACUUACUAACGAGCAACGCUUGCAA